rnacentral:rRNA from 1 species
AGUGAACGCUGGCGGUAGGCCUAACACAUGCAAGUCGAACGGCAGCACAGUAAGAGCUUGCUCUUACGGGUGGCGAGUGGCGGACGGGUGAGGAAUACAUCGGAAUCUACUUUUUCGUGGGGGAUAACGUAGGGAAACUUACGCUAAUACCGCAUACGACCUACGGGUGAAAGCAGGGGAUCUUCGGACCUUGCGCGAUUGAAUGAGCCGAUGUCGGAUUAGCUAGUUGGCGGGGUAAGGGCCCACCAAGGCGACGAUCCGUAGCUGGUCUGAGAGGAUGGUCAGCCACACUGGAACUGAGACACGGUCCAGACUCCUACGGGAGGCAGCAGUGGGGAAUAUUGGACAAUGGGCGCAAGCCUGGUCCAGCCAUACCGCGUGGGUGAAGAAGGCCUUCGGGUUGUAAAGCCCUUUUGUUGGGAAAGAAAAGCAGCAGGUUAAUACCCCGCUGUUCUGACGGUACCCAAAGAAUAAGCACCGGCUAACUUCGUG